rnacentral:rRNA from 1 species
CCUACGUGAGGCAGCAGUGGGGAAUAUUGCACAAUGGGGGAAACCCUGAUGCAGCGACGCCGCGUGAGUGAAGAAGUAAUUCGUUAUGUAAAGCUCUAUCAGCAGGGAAGAAAAUGACGGUACCUGAGUAAGAAGCCCCGGCUAACUACGUGCCAGCAGCCGCGGUAAUACGUAGGGGGCAAGCGUUAUCCGGAUUUACUGGGUGUAAAGGGAGCGUAGACGGCAGUGCAAGUCUGGAGUGAAAGGCGGGGGCUCAACCCCCGGACUGCUCUGGAAACUGUACGGCUGGAGUGCAGGAGAGGUAAGUGGAAUUCCUAGUGUAGCGGUGAAAUGCGUAGAUAUUAGGAGGAACACCAGUGGCGAAGGCGGCUUACUGGACUGUAACUGACGCUGAGGAGCGAAAGCGUGGGUAGCAAACAGGAUUAGAUACCCUUGUAGUC